UGGUUUUCAGCUUGGGCCCGUGCAUGAGGACCGUGAACUCAGAGGUGGUGGGCUCAGCACCUGCAAGCAAGGGCAUGAGGUUAGUAGGAAGGCUGUCCUCUCUGGGAAAGAGAUCCUACUACAAAGUAAGCGGGUAAGCAAGGGGUUCCAGGGAGGGUUUGCCAUGAGAACUGGAUACUACGUUUGCUAAGCAGGAUCCUAUUUCCUUUUCCAAUUGUGGUAAAAUAUACAUAACACGAUUUACCAUGUGAACCAUUUUCAGGUGGACAGUUCAGAGGCGUGAAAUACAUUCAUGGUGUUGUGCAGCCCUCAUCACCAUCCAUCUCCCAAACUGAAAGUGUCCCCAUUCGUUCCCCUCUCCCAGCCCCUGGUAACCUCUACUCUACCCUGUCUCUAUGAAUUGAGGACUCAAGGCAUCUCAUAAGUGGAAUCAUAGGAUAUUUGUCCUUUUGUGUCUGGCUUAUUUCACUUAAUAUAUAGUGUCCUCAAGAUUCAUGCAUCUUGUAGCAUGUUCCAGAAACGCAUUCCUUCUUAAGACUGAAUAAUACUCCAAACUCCAUUAUAUGGAUAGCCCUUUUGUUUAUGCAUUCAUCCAUCACAAGAGGUGGGUUGUUUCCACCUCUUGGCCAUUGUGAAAAAUGCUGCUGUGAACAUGGACUGUAGCUGCUGGGUUCUUGGGUGUAAUUUUCAUGAUUAUAUUGAAGACACAUACGAAUGUUUCCUAGUGCUUUUACACAGGACAUUGAGAUACCAACAAACACACAAAAAAAUCUCUCACUAUUACCUGUAUAGAGCUGGUAGCGAGUGUUUUCCAACCCAAGGAGGUAGUUUAUCAUGGUGGAUUUGCCAACGCUCCACGGUCCCAGGAACAGCACCAUUGGCUUGGAAGUAAUCUCCCCAUCUGUAGGCAGCAGGAAUUAGAAAUGGAAGUGACUAAUGAAGUUUCUUCCUACGGGAGUGACACAGGGCGUCACACAGCAUCACACGGUCCAUCUGAAUGAGUUACAGAUUUCCACAUUGGACAAGACAGGGGGUGGCAAUCGGCGGCUCGCCUCUCGCUAUGUAAGUGCGAUUACCCAGUUAAAACCAGAAGACACGAUGCUGACCUUACACAGAUCCUUUGCACAGCGGCACCAGAAGCAGGAGCUAAGUGACAUCAACAAAUACUGACUCAGAGCUCACUCUGGGUGAGGCCUCCUGGUUUACAUCUGGAUUUACAUCCCUUUCCUAAGAAGGGGAGAAAAGAGCUACCCCACAGCGAGGGGUUGAAACUCUGCUAUCUGGAUUGGUAACAGAAAAAACAGAGAGACAGGAAAGAGACUCACACGAUCUUAGACAGCCUGGACGGGGGCCCCCUGACAUCCUACCUCAGGCUCGACCCAACACUGGCCUCAAGGCCAGUCUCAAAUUAGCCUCUAGAGACCACGAAAUAUUUGCCAGGUCCCAAGACCAAGCACUGAGUAGGCAAUUCUUGGGUUCUCGGCAGUGUCGGGAAGCACACACUGCCUGGGCCCUGCCAGCUGGGGUCCCUAGGAAGAGAAGGCAGAUUCCUCCAGAGCUUCCAAAACCAGGGGGGCAGAAGGGAUGUGGUCACUGGCCACUGCCUUGCAGCUCUCCACUCUUGCAGCUCAUCUCUGAGCCACGGCAUGGAGGGCCAGCCCUGCCUAGUUUAUACCUCAAAUUCUCCAGACCUCUUUGUCUCCCUGAGCCUGGCACAGAGGCCCCAAACGGUAGGAACUUUUUUUUUUUCAUUUAUUUUUUUUUCUGUUUUGAUGUACAGUAUUUAAUUUCUUGCUUCAAAAAUCCGAAGUAUAGGGGCGCCUGGGUGGCUCAAUUGGUUGGGCAUCCAACUCUAGAUUUUGGCUCAGGUCGUAAUCCCGGCAUUGGGCUCUGCACUGAGCAUGGAGCCUGCUUGGGAUUCUCUCUCUCCCUCUUCCCCUCUCCCCUACUCACACACACACACUCUCUCUCUCUCUAAAAAAAAAUUUUUUAAUUAAAAAAAAAAAAAUAUCCGAAGUAUACCUGUCCCCAAUCUGCCUAGGCCAUGACACCUGGCAGAGAGGGCAGAGAGAGAGGGAGACACAGAAUCUGAAGCAGGCUCCAGGCUCUGAACUGUCAGCACAGACCCCGAUGUGGGGUUUGAACCCACGAACCGUGAGAUCAUGACCUGAGUUGAAGUCAGACACUAACGGACUGAGCCACCCUGGUGCCCCACCUUUCAGGUAUUUUAAUGCAUACGGAAGAAGCAAUAUUAGCAAAUAUCACAUUCCUCUUUUUUUAUAUACAAACAGGAGUACAGUAUUCCUCUUGUUCAGCACCUCGCUUCUUACUCUGCUUGUUUUCUUUCUAUAAGGUGAAACUAAGUCCCAGAAGACCACGACGGCAUCUCGCCCAGGAGUCAGAAAGGGAACUGGACCUUCCAGCUCCUGGCUGAGAGCCCAGGAGACCAAGCAGGCCCAGGAGACCCAGGCCCAGGAGACCAAGCAGCGGGCUCUCUGGGGGCUGCUGUUUCGGCUGUCUGCAGCAGGGGGCGUUACUGGCAUCUGCAGGAGGCCACAGGUGAGACUCAGAGGCGGCCCCAAGGCACUGCGGUGGAGUCCCCAGCACCGGGGGAGGUGAGGAGAGAGAAGCCAAGCCCAGAAAGUGGCAUCCGGAGCCCGGAACGCCCUCCCUGCAGAGCGCCCUCCCCCUGCCGCCCAGCAGCCUCCUGGGCCAAGCCGCUGGGUCUGGGACUGCAGGAGAAGUCAAGCGCAGAGGACAGGAGAGCCACGGGAGACUGCCACCUCACACAGCCCCUGUGAAGCCCGAGAGGAUGGUCUGCUCUUAGGCUUGCAAGAGGCAGUCUGGGAGUCACGAAACAGCCUUCUCUCGGAGAAGAAGUAGACAGUCCCGGCUCCUGGUUCCAGCCGUGUGAUCCUGGGUACCCAGCAUCUCUCUGGGCACCAGGUCCCAUUAUUCCUGUUCCUGAAGCAGGAAUAAUGUACAUCCUAAAUACCCAACCCACUUUAUAGCCAUCAGGCACAUCACAUGAGAUAAUAUGGCAACACCACUGUGAAAAUUUUCAGAGGAUUGACUCCCCAAAAGGGUGUGGCUGCAGGAGGACGAGAGCUCUCAUACACCUUACUGUGGCCUCAGCCUGGCACCACCUAAGGCAACUUAGGGACAACUCUGAAAAUGCUUAACUCGUGUUCCACUUUUUAAAAUAUUUCCCACAGAUAUAUUUGCGUGGAAUAUGUAACGAUUAUAGUAGUGUUUACAACGUUUUUAAAAAUGGCGGGGCACCUGGACGGUUCAGUCUAUUGAGCGUCCGGCUCGAUUUUGGCUCAGGUCAUGAUCUCAGGGUCGUGAGAUCGAGCCCCGCGUAGAGCUCCGCACUAGACAUGGAGCCCGCUUGAAAUUCUCUCUUUCCUUCUUCCUCCCUCUGUACGCCCUGCUCACAUUCUCUCUCCCUCAAAAAAGAAAUUAAAAAGUAAUAAUUAAAAACAAUAAAAAUGGAACAUGGCAAACACCCCGUGGUCCAUCAGUAGAACAGUGCCCAUCUUGUGUGGUGCGUGCAGAGGCUCAAGAAUAAAGUGGGGCUGCACACACACCACUGUGUGAUGUGAUACCAUCGUGUCAAACUAACAGAGAAGGACACACUUGUAUGUGCUCGUGCACAGAGCAAAUGUCUGGUCUGGAAGUAUCUGUAGGAAACUGUAACAGUGGGAGUGUCUGCAAGUGAAGUGGAGAAACUAGAAAUAAAGAAAGGGAUUUUUGUUUUUCAUAUUUAUUUAUUUAUUUUUGAGAGGGGGGAGGAGCAGAGAGAGAGACAGAGGAUCCCAAGCAGGCUCUGUGCUGACAGCAGACAGCGUGAUGCGGGGCUCGAGCUCACAAACUGUGAGAUGAUGAUCUGAGCUGAAGUGGGACACUUAACCAACUAAGACACCCAGGUGCCCCAGAGAUUUUUAUUUUUCCAUUUGUACUUGUUUUUCACUAUUUGGUUAUUCAUUUUUUACGGGGACAAGUAUACCUUGUGUUUAUUGUUCUGAAAAUCAAUGUUUAAAAGAAUCUAGGGGUGCCUGGGCAGCUCAGUCAGUUAAGCGACCGACUUCAGCUCAGGUCAUGACCUCACAGUUCGUGGGUUCAUGCCCUGUGUCGGGCUCUGUACAGUCAGCUCAGAGCUUGGAGCGUGCUGUGGAUUCUGUCUCCCUCUCUCUCUGCCCUUCCCCCACUCAUGCUCUAUCUCUCUCUGUC